rnacentral:rRNA from 1 species
GACGAACGCUGGCGGCGUGCUUAACACAUGCAAGUCGAACGGAAAGGCCUAGCUUGCUGGGUACUCGAGUGGCGAACGGGUGAGUAACACGUGGGUGAUCUGCCCCUGACUUUGGGAUAAGCCUGGGAAACUGGGUCUAAUACCGGAUAUUCAUUUUUCCUCGCAUGGGGAUUUGUGGAAAGCUUUUGCGGUUGGGGAUGGGCCCGCGGCCUAUCAGCUUGUUGGUGGGGUAAUGGCCUACCAAGGCGACGACGGGUAGCCGACCUGAGAGGGUGAUCGGCCACACUGGGACUGAGACACGGCCCAGACUCCUACGGGAGGCAGCAGUGGGGAAUAUUGCACAAUGGGCGCAAGCCUGAUGCAGCGACGCCGCGUGGGGGAUGACGGCCUUCGGGUUGUAAACCUCUUUCAGCUCCGACGAAGCGCAAGUGACGGUAGGAGCAGAAGAAGCACCGGCCAACUACGU